ensembl:lncRNA
CAGAAGGAAUUGUGCUUGCUCUCUGUCUUGUCUCCGGAAAGAGCCUCAGAUCUGGGGUUGAAAGGGAAUACGGCGCAGGCUGACACGCCAGGAGCCCCGCGCAGAGUGCUGUCAGUACGAGGCAGAGAGGAAACGUCUCCGCGAGUAUUAUUAACAUGUCAGUAGCACUGAUAGAUUCCAACUGAGAUCAAGCCCUCUCGCAUUAGCUGCGUGCCAAAAACAGAGGAGGAAGCAGGGAAAGGAGAGGAAGUGUUAUUAUUCCCACGUUGCAGCUGCAGAAUAGAGGCGCGGGGAUUGUGCAAUCCUGGAGGUCGUGCAGAAACGCAUGUGGCUGAGUGGGAAGCAGGGUCCCACCGUGCCGAAGUAACCUCCACCUAACCCUAAGCCUAACUAACCCUAACCCUAAAACCUUAACCCUAACCUUAACCCAGCCCACUCUCACUUCCUCACCGUGCUGGCAUCAGUCAUGUGUUCAGUUGCCUGGAGCUGAUGGGGCGCUAGGGGUCCUGCUGCCACCAUGUGCUGCCGUCCACCCACCCAGGGCUCAGAGCUCCCCGUGGUUUGGAGCAGAGGAUUAUUUAAAAUGAUGACUGGACCUCUGCAUCCAUCAUGCUGAAGAGUACUGGGGGCAAAAUACCUGACUUCAGAGUUUCCAGAGAUGCUAGAUGGGAAAACAGGACUAAAUUGCAAGGAAUUCAAUAACACUGUGUGAUGUUUAUUUCUGCACAGGUGGCUGAAGAAAAAUUACCGUAAUUGUUAUUGUUGUUAUCAACUGUUCAAAGUUUAUCCCUGCAUUCUCAAAGCAGAUAGGAAGUUUCUGUAGCAUGAUCUGCAGUUGGUGUUACAUCCAAACAAAUCCACGUUCACUUCUCAAAUGUAGAGCAGCCGUCGACCCGUGAGACACUGCAGAACAACACUGUCAUCCUCUGACCAAGGAGAGAGGUGAAGCACUGAGCUGUCUCUGCAAAUGCAACAUGCAGAUUUCAAAACUCAGUUAAAACAAGUGUGGUCAGGAAAAGAAUGAGAUGUGUAACACAGCAAAACUACUCAUGUUGACUAUGUUGAUAUAUCACAUAACUAAGAAUAACACGGAGUGUCUAGAGAGGUGUUGGAUGCCCCAUCCUUGGAGACACUCAAGGUCAGGCUGGAUGGGGCUCUGAGCAGCUGAUCCAGUGUAGGCAUCCCUGUUCGUUGCAGGAGGGUUGGACCUGAUGGCCUUUAAUGGUCCUUUCCAACUCAAACGAUUCUAUGGCUCUAUGAGUUAUGCCAAGAGAGGCACUAGCAAAGUAGACAUGGGUUCAGUCACACACUGUGCUGGUGUGUUUGUGUCCUGCACACGGAUUUCCAUCUCAGUACACCUUCCUAUGAAUUUCUCCAAACCAAAUACCCAUACAGAAAAAAAAAUAAGCCCACAUUUUAUCUUUCAGGUACUUCAGGUGCUGUUGAGACACCUCCCAGAUCUCAUUGUUCCACAGCUUUGUGCAUGCAGGAAGCUCCAUAAACAGGAGGCAAAUUCACAGCCUACCUUUGCUUUCCAGAGGGACAAUAAAAUGAUCUCCACCAUAGAUGCUGUCUGCCCAGCAAAAUGACCCAGCAGUGUUAUUUAUGGGCACUGACCCUGCGAGGUGCCCAAGGUAGAUCCUCCCUUCUUCCUUAGAAAUAUAUGCCCAGAAAAGUCAUGGAGUCCACUUCCCUGGAGGUGUUUGCAGCCAGGGUGGAUGCGACCCUGGUCAAUCUGAUCUAGUGGGUGGCAACCAGAGCUUGAAACAGGAUGAUCUUUUAGGUCCCUUGCAACCUAAGCCCUUCUAUGAUUCUAUGGUGAUUUCACUGGUAUGGGAUUUAGCUUCAUCCCUGCUUGAUGCCAUCCCCAUGCUUUGGGAGCAGUGAGCAGCCACAGCUGGGCUCUGGCUGCCUGCAGACGCAGAGCACAUCCCAGAAGGCACCACUUCAGCCACCUCCGGUCAUCAGGUGGUCCUCAUGCAUCUCCAGUGCCAGCCCUGUGAUGCUCCCAUGGAUGGCAGUGCAGCCGCAGCGUCUGUGCGGGUGGCUGUGUUGCACUGUAGAUAAGACCCAUUUUGCAUAAUCCCAAACAAUCCCACACUCACCCAACACGCAGUUAUUCAGCUGCCCAGCAUGCGAUGGCACCAGCAUGGAUGACACAGGGGAAUUCUUGGAAUAUCCAACACACAUGUUUACUGGGAAGGAAUCCGCAGCUGGAGGGACAUGCUGUGAGAAUGCACCGUCAAGGGAGUACUGCUGAAAGCAUCACAAAACACCCAUGGACGAGGGAGGGAGCAAAGCAGCCCUCCUGCCAGCUGCCGCAGGAAUGUCACCUGCACCCAGUGGGACCGGGACAGCCCGUGCUGCCAGCACUGCUCCGGCCUCGAGCAGCCAUUGCCUGUGCCAUGCUCAGCGGGGUGAGUCACCUUAAUUAAAAACACGAAGCCUGCAGCUCCUAUCACAUCGGCGAUGUUAAACGAGGUCCGGAAAUAGAAGUCCUGUUUUCAUUUAAGCUUUUCAACUGUGAUCUAAGAAAUAAAAUAUGGAGGGGGU